AGUCGCAGAAGAAGUGGUCGAUGAUAUUAGAUCCACAGAAUUCUAACUGGAACAUGAAAAAAAAUUCUCCCGGGAUUAGAAGGAAGGAUGCUCCCCAAGACCAGAAUAUCAGAUGGAAACAAAGUCUACUGUCCAUGAUGGAGGCAUAGUGCAGUGGUCUACAAAUAGCUAGAUAACGGUCAAAAGACAUAGCCGAGAUAAUUAAAGAUUGGGUGUAUAUUGAAAUACAAUGAAAAUAGUACUGGAAAAAACAAC